rnacentral:rRNA from 1 species
AUUGAACGCUGGCGGCAGGCCUAACACAUGCAAGUCGAGCGAGCGGCGGACGGGUGAGUACUGUCUGGGAAACUGCCUGAUGGAGGGGGAUAACUACUGGAAACGGUAGCUAAUACCGCAUACCAUCAGAUGUGCCCAGAUGGGAUUAGCUAGUAGGUGGGGUAAUGGCUCACCUAGGCGACGAUCCCUAGCUGGUCUGAGAGGAUGACCAGCCACACGGGAACUGAGACACGGGCCAGACGCCUACGGGAGGCAGCAGUGGGGAAGAUUGCACAAUGGGCGCAAGCCUGAUGCAGCCAUGCCGCGUGUAUGAAGAAGGCCUUCGGGUUGUAAAGUACUUUCAGCGAGGAGGCGUUACUCGCAGAAGAAGCACCGGCUAACUCCGUGCCAGCAGCCGCGGUAAUAC